UCGAGGCCAGGACACGCGACCCGUGACAGUGUCGAGUUAACCAAAAGAACCCAAGUGCCAAGUGCCGAGUGAAGAGGCCACAACUGACUAACUAACUGCCUCCAGAAACUGUGCGAUUUAAGACCAAAAACAAAAACAUAACUACCAGUGCAUCAGUGCCCGGGAAAAACCUUAAAGCAAACAGCCAGCGAAGUGAAUUAACCAUAAACCAAAGCCCCUAAAAUAAACCGAAGCAGGGCGAAAAAACGAAAUUUAAACGUCUGUGCAUAUUAAUCAGAACGAGAAACGUGAAACGUGAACAGGAUCAAGUCCUAGACAACUUAUCACAGAGGAUUUACGUGGCACCAGACAGACAGACAGACGCAGGACACGAAUGCGAGUGUGGAGCAGAAGGCGGCGCUAAUCAACGGCCAAAGCAGACGACAACCACGCCCAUAACCCCCCUUUUCGAAAAGAAAAAUAACAAAAAAAGAAAAGCGAGGAAAAACCAGGAGCUGGAGUGCAGGAGCCGCCUCAUUUGGCCACUGCGGAUUAUGUUAAUUAGAUUUUAAGCACGCGACGACAACGACGCCAGGGGAGCACUUGGCAUUGUAAUGUGACAACAGUUGGCUAAAAACAACAACAGGACCAAAACCAGGGGCGUCAGGAGUAGCAGGAAUGCUCGCUUUUUAAUUGACAUUUGCUCGAGUUGAGUUGCGUUUUGUUCAACAGCAAUUAGCAUUACGGAGGGGAAAAACACAAAAAAAAAACACUCCGAACAAAACACAAAGGAGCGCAAUUAAAAUUGUAAAACAAUUGCAGAGCGCUGAAUUGAAAGGGGGGAAACAAUAACAGACGACCCGGAAUAGAAUGAUCAAGUUGAUUUAAUUAAAAAUUCACCAUCACCAUCAGCAUCAGCAUCUGUGUGCGAUGGAAUUCGGGCACGCAGCUUGAGCAAUGGCCGCCGGACCGGAAACGCAGCCAUUGCCCUCGGGCAACUUCCGCUUCUGACUGCCGC